GGGGGCUGGGCCGAGCUGGCGGUGCAGGAGAGUGGGUCGCGCAGCAAGUAUCAACUGCUUCAUUUGCAGAGGAAUUAUGAAUAGAAUUGAACAUUGAGCAAUCAUCCACAAACGUCUCCACUUCUGAUUUUAUGAUGGAAGGAAGGUCAUUGAUGAAGCAGCUGAAGAUGGUUGAGCUUCGGACACUGCCCCGAGGAACCCAUGCAGUAAUGUCCUGAGGCUGCGAUAAUCAAUGGUCAGUUAGGAUGUUAUGGGCAGAAGGGCCUGUCUCCAUGCUCUAUGACUCAUUGAAACAUUUAGAAUUCUGAGGCUUGACAAUUCUGAGGUUGCUGAGGGGCUGAAAAGUCUCACACUAGGAAAAUGAGCUCUAAGUGUCUAAGCAGAGAAGAAAACAAAAAGAAAAAAAUGGCCUGCAGGUGCCCACAUCCCAUGAAAAUAACUAAGAACAAACUUGAGAAAUAAAAGUCAGAAGAAUGUGAAGAAAGAGUGAUGCGAAGAAGUUGAGAGUCCUUUAGAAAAAUGAUUCAUUCUGCUUCCUUUUUUGCUGUAAAAUUCUUUAAUUCCAUAUUAGAUCACAAUGAACAUCUUUGUUGAUCUCCAACAAUCACAACAAGGAAUGAUUCCAACAUUUGGUGUGCUUUCCCCUUGGUGACCUUAAUGCCAGUUUUACCACAGUUCCUUGAUGCAACACUUGGUCAAGUGCUGCUUUGAUGUCAAGGACGGUCAUUCUGACGACAUCUCUGGAAGUCAGCUCUUUAAGUUUGUGUUUGGUCCAAGGCUACGAUGAGAACUGGAGCUGAGUGGUUCUGGCAAAAUCAAAACUGGGCACUGGUGAGCACAUUAUUGCAAAACGUUAUCAACAAUGGGUAGAGGCUGCAGAUUUGGAAGAUACUGUUGGUGUAACCUGGCCUUGGAGAAAGCAAACCUGAGAAUAUGGAUCAAUUUCAUAUUUACUUUAAGAUGACAGUGCCUGCAAGGCAAAGCAAUAUGGCCAUUUAGGAUAACUUACCUGCAUCAACAAGUGAAGAGGUUUACCAGCAACCUUCUGGAAAACAUGAAACUUAACACCAGCUGUUGAUAAAGCACAAAUGAAAAC